GACGAACGCUGGCGGCGUGCUUAACACAUGCAAGUCGAACGAAGAGCGAUGGAAGCUUGCUUCUAUCAAUCUUAGUGGCGAACGGGUGAGUAACGCGUAAUCAACCUGCCCUUCAGAGGGGGACAACAGUUGGAAACGACUGCUAAUACCGCAUACGAUCUAAUCUCGGCAUCGAGGAUAGAUGAAAGGUGGCCUCUACAUGUAAGCUAUCACUGAAGGAGGGGAUUGCGUCUGAUUAGCUAGUUGGAGGGGUAACGGCCCACCAAGGCGAUGAUCAGUAGCCGGUCUGAGAGGAUGAACGGCCACAUUGGGACUGAGACACGGCCCAGACUCCUACGGGAGGCAGCAGUGGGGAAUCUUCCGCGAUGGACGAAAGUCUGACGGAGCAACGCCGCGUGAGUGAUGACGGCCUUCGGGUUGUAAAGCUCUGUUAAUCGGGACGAAAGGCCUUCUUGCGAAUAGUGAGAAGGAUUGACGGUACCGGAAUAGAAAGCCACGGCUAACUACGUG
rnacentral:rRNA from 1 species